rnacentral:rRNA from 1 species
GACGGAGGGUGCGAGCGUUGUCCGGAUUUAUUGGGCGUAAAGAGCUCGUAGGCGGCUCGUCGCGUCGACCGUGAAACCCCGCAGCUUAACUGCGGGCCUGCGGUUGAUACGGGCGGGCUAGAGUUCGGUAGGGGAGACUGGAAUUCCUGGUGUAGCGGUGAAAUGCGCAGAUAUCAGGAGGAACACCGGUGGCGAAGGCGGAUCUCUGGGCCGAUCCUGACGCUGAGGAGCGAAAGCGUGGGGAGCGAACAGG